rnacentral:lncRNA from 1 species
GGUCCUCUUGUCCAUCACGUUCUAAUAUUAUUCUCGCAGCCUGGGAUGGUGAGCCAAAAAUUUUCAAAACAGAAAGGCUUGUAUGUAAGAGACCUACCUAUAGUUUGAGGUUUGGUUACUAGUAAUAACAGGAUACGGUCUGAUGUAUGUCUGACCAAUGAUUUGAGGUAUGCCAGUGGAAACUGAUGAAGCCAGUCAAUGCUCACAAAAAAAAUGAUCCAGAGUUGCUAGAG